rnacentral:lncRNA from 1 species
UGGACUUACUGUUCUAUUAUUACUUGAUACGAUCUGGUACACUUGCUAGGGUGUAAACAAGUUUUUGGCGCCGUUGUCGGGGACUCGUUUGGUUUAACUUUACUAGUAGUGUGAAUUUAAUAAAAUUUGACUUGAUUUUAAUUUUUUGUUUGUAUUUGUUUUUGUUUUUAUUUUUUUUUAUAAAAAAGUGCUUUUUAGGGUUUUUGUUUCUUGUGUAUGCAGGAAGCAAUUCACACUAGAAGCAAGAAAAAUCAACAUCUUCUCGAAGGAUUAAGAGACAGGAGGGGGAAGAAAGCCAGAAGACAAUCUAGAGACCUAUUUCCC